GAUGAACGCUAGCUACAGGCUUAACACAUGCAAGUCGCGGGGCAGCAUGGGGGUUGCUUGCAAUCCCCGAUGGCGACCGGCGCACGGGUGAGUAACGCGUAUCCAACCUGCCCUUCACCACGGGAUAACCCGGCGAAAGUCGGACUAAUACCGUAUGUUGUCCAUUGACGGCAUCCGAUUUGUACGAAAUGUUCGCCGGUGAAGGACGGGGAGGCGUCCGAUUAGCUGGACGGCGGGGUGACGGCCCACCGAGGCGACGAUCGGUAGGGGUUCUGAGAGGAAGGUCCCCCACAAUGGAGCUGAGACACGGUCCAGACUCCUACGGGAGGCAGCAGUGAGGAAGAUUAGUCAAUGGACGUAAGCCUGAACCAGCCGAGUAGCGUACAAAAGGACGGCCCUAUGGGUGGUAAACUGGUUUUAAGCGGGGAUAAAGUGGCCCACGUGUGGGUUUUUGCAGGUACCGAAUGAAUAAGGACCGGCUAAUUCCGUG
rnacentral:rRNA from 1 species